ACUUUUUUGGAAUCUGGCAUGUACUGUAUAUUAGAUUGUAAGCUCUGAGGAGCAGGUUGUCUCUUUCUUUCCAGGGUCAGCUCUCCGGAGCUUUAUAUUACAUACAUAUAUACAGCAAUAUGCAGCAGGACAGAUGUAAUC